rnacentral:lncRNA from 1 species
CCGAGCUAUAUAAUUUAUUUUUUGAUUAGUCUACGUUUAAUACUUAAUUGUGUGCUGGCAUAUACGAUGUGACAUCUAAAAAUUUUCUUUUCACGAACUAAACAAGGCUUAAUUACUGUGUAAGGUCAAAUCCUACAAAUAAUUUCAUUGAAGAGCAUAUAUAUAUUAGCAAUAGAUGAUAUAAUAUAAUAAUAAUAAACAAUAAUAUACGAUUGCUUGCUUUGACAGAUGACGCGUGAGUGCUGUAGUGGAUGCAUCAGCAAGCAUAUAUGAGUGUGUAGUUGGGAUCUAAAGGCAAAGGAC